GGGGGCGCCCUGGUUUCGACGGGGAUUGAAGAUGCCGGAGUGGCAGGCCGAGGCGCCGCUGGCCUCGUUAAAAGCGGCACAAAAGUAAUUGCCAACGAUAAUUACGAAUACGCACUGGCUGCUUAAUUGACAGUCACAUCUGCAGGGUUGAUGUCUGAUAGAUCUCGCAGAUGACAAACUUAUCAGGCUGGCUUUCGAUGGCGUUCACCCCUGAGAAAGUAAGAACAUAUAGAUGAACUGGCUGCAGGCCACCUGGUCAUGGGUAACACUUGCAGCGAGAUUACGAACAUGACCUAAGCCUGUAGAAGCUUCGAGCGGACCAUUCUCGGACGCGAGUUCGAUUCUCGCCGCCUCCACCA
rnacentral:tmRNA from 1 species